ACACAGGGGACGACCAAGAACCCCCCAUCAAACCCUAGCUCAUCUAAAUUGCUCAAAUUGAAGACCAAACUCGAAUCCAAAUCGAAAAUCAAGCAUAGAAUAGUGAUCCUCAUCACAAGGGGGUUACAAGGAAAAGAUACCGGAGCGUCGAGUGGACAAGCCGGUGGCGAUUCACGUUGAAGGGCGUGCACUAAAGUUAAAGAAAUGUCUGGAGUAACCGGAGAUGAUUCGACAUCUCAAUUGACUGAACAAAUGAAAGCUAAGAUUUCCGAGGUAGUCGGAAAAACUCUAGAAAAUAGUCUAUCACAUUAUAUUGAUUGAAUACAAACCACAAUCAUGCCAAUGGUGGACGAUAUGAUGGCUAAAUUGAAAGACAGUAUAUUACAAGAAAUAUAAGAAAGGAGGGUGUUGGAUAUGAAUCCAAGUUCCGUAAAGAAAUCCAAGUCUAAUAAAGCUCCCAAGAGAAGAGUUACAAAAAGUGUGUUACAUCAGUGCAAAUUUUGUGGAAAAAUUCACAAGGGCACAUGUGGUAAGCCAAGACAUAAGAAGUUUAAACGUCCAGAGAGGCUUGGAACCAAAGAUGCAACCGACACAAUGUCUGAUGCUCAGAAGUCAAGGACAAGGUCGUUUUAUAUAACAGCCACAGAGGCUAAAGCUGAAUCUGAUGUCAUUUCAGGAAAAGAUACCGGAGCGUCGAGUGGACAAGCCGGUGGCGAUUCACGUUGAAGGGCGUGCACUAAAGCAAAUGCAGGUCACAGAACCGAACCUGCUGGAAAAACGUUCCUCCCGCGCCACGCGGCAGGAUUCUUCAGUUGUUCCGCGACACACGACAAUUGCCGCGAUACGCGACAUAUGGAAUGGAACCUGCCGCGACACGCGGCAGGAUACUUUUCUAAAAUUUUAUUUUAUUUUCAUAUUUCGAUGUCGGAACUUGAUUGUAUGUACUAGAUAAAUGUUAGGGCUAAUGUUUUUCACUGGUUUUGACCCUAUGUGACAAUGGGGAUCUUACGGAUGGCGAUCAAGCAAGUUUUUGAAGAACCGAACACACUUUUGAAGCUUCCCGUUAUCUAACGUUAAUAGACAAUAUUUUGGGAUGUAAACAAGUUGUUAAACAACUUAUGAAUAUUUGAA